UACAGAGGUCCCGAGCGUUGUUCGGAUUCACUGGGCGUAAAGGGUGCGUAGGUGGCUGGAAAAGUUUGAUGUGAAAGCUCAGGGCUUAACCCUGAAAUGGCAUUGAAUACUGUCGAGCUGGAGGUUUGGAGGGGGGACUGGAAUUCUUGGUGUAGCAGUGAAAUGCGUAGAUAUCAAGAGGAACACCAGUGGCGAAGGCGAGUCCCUGGACAACACCUGACACUGAGGAGCGAAAGCCAGGGGAGCAAACGGG
rnacentral:rRNA from 1 species